rnacentral:rRNA from 1 species
UACAGAGACUGCAAGCGUUGUUCGGAUUCAUUGGGCGUAAAGGGUGCGUAGGCGGCGCGGUAAGUCGGGUGUGAAAUCUCGGAGCUUAACUCCGAAACUGCAUUCGAUACUGCCGUGCUUGAGGACUGGAGAGGAGACUGGAAUUUACGGUGUAGCGGUGAAAUGCGUAGAUUUCGUAAGGAAGACCAGUGGCGAAGGCGGGUCUCUGGACAGUUCCUGACGCUGAGGCACGAAGGUCAGGGGAGCAAACGGG